AGCAGCCGCGGUAAUUCCAGCUCCAAUAGCGUAUAUUAAAGUUGUUGCAGUUAAAAAGCUCGUAGUUAAAUUUCGGAAUCAGUACGCCGGUCAUGCUUCGGUAUGUACUAGUGUCACUGAUUCCUUCCUUCUGACGAACCGUCAUGCCAUUAAUUUAGUGUGACGGGGAAUCAGGACUGUUACUUUGAAAAAAUUAGAGUGUUUAAAGCAGGCUCGCGCUUGAAUACAUUAGCAUGGAAUAAUGAAAUAGGACGUUGAUCUUAUUUUGUUGGUUUCUUAGAUCGACGUAAUGAUUAAUAGGGAUAGUUGGGGGCAUUAGUAUUCAAUUGUUAGAGGUGAAAUUCUUGGAUUUAUUGAAGACUAACUACUGCGAAAGCAUUUGCCAAGGAUAGUUUUCAUUAAUCAA
rnacentral:rRNA from 1 species